GCCGGGAUAGCUCAGUCGGUAGAGCAGAGGACUGAAAAUCCUC
rnacentral:tRNA from 1 species